rnacentral:sRNA from 1 species
GCCUCCAUGAUGAUGUCCCUGACCAAGUUGGCCGACAAGGAGUUGGUACACAUGAUCAGCUGGGCCAAGAAGAUUCCCGGCUUUGUGGAGCUCAGCCUGUUCGACCAAGUGCGGCUCUUGGAGAGCUGUUGGAUGGAGGUGUUAAUGGUGGGGCUGAUGUGGCGCUCAAUUGACCACCCCGGCAAGCUCAUCUUUGCUCCAGAUCUUGUUCUGGACAGGUAUGUACCCUCUGGUCACAGCGACCCAGGAUGCUGACAGCAGCCGGAAGCUGGCCCACUUGCUGAACGCCGUGACCGAUGCUUUGGU